rnacentral:rRNA from 1 species
GUGGGGAAUAUUGGGCAAUGGGGGAAACCCUGACCCAGCGACGCCGCGUGAGGGAAGACGGCCUUCGGGUUGUAAACCUCUUUUGUACGGGAAGAAGGAAGUGACGGUACUGUACGAAUAAGUCCCGGCUAACUACGUGCCAGCAGCCGCGGUAAUACGUAGGGGACGAGCGUUGUCCGGAAUUACUGGGCGUAAAGGGCGCGCAGGCUGUGCUGCAAGUCAGCUGUGAAAUGUCUGGGCUUAACCCGGGCAUGCGGUUGAGACUGCAGUGCUGGAGUGCUGUAGAGGCAAGUGGAAUUCCCAGUGUAGCGGUGAAAUGCGUAGAUAUUGGGAAGAACACCGGUGGCGAAGGCGACUUGCUGGCCAGCAACUGACGCUGAGGCGCGAAAGCCAGGGGAGCAAACGGGAUUAGAUACCCCAGUAGUCC